UUGGGAUCGUUUCUGCCCUUUUUGGGGCCAUUUUAGGCCCAACUUCCCCCAUUUCGACCCAAUUUCCUCCAUUUUUUGGCCCAAUUUCCUCCAUUUUCGGCCCAACUUCCCCCAUUUUUUGCCCAAUUUCCUCCAUUUCCGACCCAAUUUCCUCCAUUUUUGGCCCAACUUCCCCCAUUUUUAACCCAAUUUCCCCCAUUUUCGACCCAAUUUCCUCCAUUUUUUGCCCAAUUUCCCCCAUUUUCGGCCCAAUUCUGCCCCAUUUCUCCCCGCUCAGCCCUCAGUGCCUCCCAGCAGCAGCACCGCCCCAUUUUUUCCCAUUUUCUCCCCGUUUCUCCCCGCGUUGCUCCGCCCCCCACCCCCCCUCCCCCGAAUUUUAACCGAUUUCCCCGUUUUUCACCCCAUUUUCAGGCAGCGCCGCCCGGCGCCGUCGGGAGGCCCGUUUGGACAAGGUGUUGUGGGACAUGCAGCGGCACCGCCGGCUGGAGGAGCAGAUCCUGCGAACGGGCCGCGACCUUUUCCCUCCCAGCAAGUACUGACCCCAAAAACGCCGCUUUUCGCCCCAAAAAACGGGGAUUUCACCCCAAAAACGGACCCAAAAUGGAGCGGAAGGGGGGAAAAAGCGCCGCUUUGGGACUUCCGUCGCGUGCUGAUGGCGUCACUGGAGCUACUUCCGCCUUUAGUCCCGCCUCUUCCGGCCGAUUCGCCCCAAAAAACGGGGAUUUCACCCCAAAAACGGACCCAAAAUGGAGCGGAAGGGGGGAAAAAGCGCCGCUUUGGGACUUCCGUCGCGUGCUGAUGGCGUCACUGGAGCUACUUCCGCCUUUAGUCCCGCCUCUUCCGGCUUCAGCCCCCCAGCGAAUUCUGACCACAAAAGCUGGGAUUUCACCCCAAAAAUGGGCCAUCGGGCCCCAAAAUUCCCCUUGCGCGCGGCUUUGAACUGCGGUCGCUUACUGAUGGCGUUCCAGCGCCGACUUCCGGCUUUAUUCCCGCCUCUUCCGGUCGAGCCGCUGUGCUCAGCCAAUGGGAAACGGCGGCCCGGUGNNNNNNNNNNNNNNNNNNNNNNNNNNNNNNNNNNNNNNNNNNNNNNNNNNNNN
rnacentral:lncRNA from 1 species